CAACCUCCUGAAUAGCAUAAUACAAAGUUUAAAUAGGGUAGCGUUAGAAGCGAUUCGCGAGAGUCCCUGGCUUAGACCCGACUUUUAUGCUCUCUGGUUUUUCUGUUUGCCAAGGAAUGGUGGAAAGCACCAGAUACUGGGGCCGCAAAGGGAAGACGAUACCAUUUUGGCUGGUUUUUAUUUAGGACAAACAGAACCCACUGCACAGUACAGCAAGAGCAGCCAAGAUGUUGACCGUCUGAAACAGGAUCAGCUUGUCAAUUUCUGCAAGGAAACCAGCUGAGAUUUUGAUAGAGAUUCUGUUGAAGCUGUAGAUCAAUUUGGGGAGAAAGCUCUUGCCUUUAGCCAAGACACCAUACCAGCUCUCCAUUCCAGUGCAAAUGGAGAAGAGAAAAGCAUAUAAGAGGGGACAAAGAGAAGAGAAGAGGAGGAAGAGGAGAAAGGAAGAAUAGGCAUCCAUAUGGAGCAAGCCGAAGUGA